ACCACCAAAAAUAAUUUCUGCAAUCUGACCAUCCAACUGUCACUCUUCUUACUUUCUAAUAAACAGAAACCAAAGAGCAGCAGAAAACUGAUCACAGAAAAAAAAGAAGCAUGACAGCCUCUCUACAAGCAGCUGCUACUCUUAUGUAACCAACUAAGGUUGGUGGUGUCUCUGCCAGAAACAACUUGCAAUUGAGGUCAUAUCAAAGUGUGAACAAGGCGUUUGGUAUUGAACCAUCUGCAUCCAGGGUUACUUGCUCUUUGCAAGCUGAUCUUAAAGAUUUUGCUCAGAAAUGUACUGAUGCUGCCAAGAUUGCUGGAUUUGCUCUUGCCACUUCUGCUCUCGUUGUCUCAAUACAGGUGUUAGAGAUCCCCAACAGGCGCUUCGUUGAAGAUCAUUAUUUUUCAGCUAUUUGUAUAUAUAUUGCAAUUUUUGGACGAAGAGGGUUCGGUUGCCACCCCUCGCACCCCUGUAGCUCCGCCCCUGUGUAGAGGGAGAGAUCGGGCUCCAUAUGGGGAGAGGAAAGAUAAUGAUAAGAAGGAUCGACAAUUCGACGAGCAGGCAAGUGACUUUUUCGAAGAGGAGGAAUGGAUUGUUGAAGAAGGCGAAGGAUCUAGCGAUCUUAUGGGAUGCGGAGGUUGGUGUCAUUAUCUUCUCCAGUACUAGCAAGCUACAUGAUUAUGCAAGCACCAGGUUCUUUCACCAAUCUCUUCGACCUCUUUCUUUCUAUCUAUAUGUAGUCCGUCCCUUAAAUUUGUUAGGAUUUUUCAUUCAAACGCUCGAAUUAAGUCAUGUUCUAAUUGUAAGCCUCAACUCCUAAUAUAGCGUUCCAAUUAGACACGUUCUAUUCAAUUUUUUUAAAAAUCUUUUACGUGUAUUUUUAUUCAUCUAUUAGAUAGUUAAGUUAAUCACAUAAAAUAUGUCAUCUUCUUUAAUUAUACCAUCAACCAAUCAAGUAGAAAAUGCACGGGGUUUACGAUUUAUUGAGAUGCAUGUGUAUAACUAGAGAAGAUGAAAUAUUUUAUGUGGUUAAUUUAACAACCCGAUAGACGAAUAAGCGAACACAAACAAAAAAAAAUUAAAAUUUGAAUUGAAAGUGUCUAAUUAAUUAUAACACUUUAUUAAGAGUACUUGAGUUGUUCAAUCGAAAUAAAGUGUAAUUCAAAUGUCUAAAUGAAAUAUGCUGACAAGUUCAAGAAUUGUUACAUAAGUUCAACUAAUUGAAAUUACUAGGACGAAGAUAUAUAAGUCGAGAUUUUAUGAUUCAAAUAGGUCCAUUUCAAAGAAUAUAUAUGCUUUAUUUCACUGCAAAGUUUUUUGUUUGCUAGCUAUGUGUCGCUUUAAUGUGCUAACUAUUAUUUUGGAUCAAGACUUUUUGAUAAUCUUUUGCCUAAUUAAUGCUUUAGUUUAUCUAUUCGUAAAAUAGUUUUUUUUUUUCAACGAAAAAUUCAUUUCUUAAGUUUAAGUACAAGGACUCUCUAAAUGUAGUAAGUCAAGUUGCAUAGCACGUUGUGGCUUUAUUCAAUCCUGAAGGUACCUAACAAUUUUUUCCUAAAUAAUAUGCGGACAAUAUCUCUUUAAGGACGAUGGUAUUUCACGACAAAGUCUUUUUUCUUCAAUUUGAUUUUUUUCGACUUUUCUAACUUUUUUGGAGUUUUGGAAGUUUCAUUCCAAAUCUAGUAAUCUGUGGAAUUUAACCUGAGUUUGACACUGUUAUAUUCCAAGUUGAGUAAAACUGGAUUUGUAGAUAGACAAAAAGCUAAAAAAAUUCCCUUACACGCAUUCUCCUUUUAUUUUACAUAUAUUUCGAAUAUUUCUCUAAGGUUUUUCAUAUCACGAUUUUCUGUUGUUAGUGAACACUUGCUUCGUUCUUGGACGUUAAGAUGUUUAUACAAAGUAUUCUUCAUGUAAAUAUUUGGAUUCUGUUCAAUAGAAUGAACUUAUAUAGUGCUAAAUUUAGUAUGAUGAUCAUGACUCAAGAGAUAGGUCUUGAUAAGAACUUAAAGUACCUAUCCUAAUUAAAAUAGAUUUUUGUUUUUACGAACUUCACUUUAUGCCAUUGAAUGUAUAAUUUUCAUUCUAGCAUAAGAAUCUCAAAACGAGCUAAAAGACUUUUAGAAAGCAUAGAAUUUAAAGUGCACGUGUUAACAUAACCAAAACUCCAACAAUCCAGGAAAGAAAACAAUCCUAGCCAUGUCUACUUAUCACAUGUCACCCUUUUGCCUUCUUUUUCCCCCAAGAAAACUACUCGGGUGAGAGGACCUGUGAGCAGGUAUAUUUAGGGGUCGCAAUUGGGUGGGUUAGAUUAAGUUUGGACGGAUCAUAAUGGGUUAGGACAAUAAUUGAGUCAAGAUUCUUUCAACUUAAAUUUAUUUGGGUAAAAACGGAUUGGAUCAAUAUGGGUUAGAUAAUGAGUUAUAUAACGGGUUAAGACUCAACCCAUCAAAUCACGAUUUAAAUUUAUUUGAAAUAAAAUUACAAAUGUUUAUCCAUUUCAAAUCAACAUCUGCAUAAAAUUUUCAUCAAUAAAUACACGCAUGUUUAUACUCGAACAUGAUUCAAAUAAAAUAAAUUAUUGAAAUCACUUUUAACUCCUUAAACAAAAGUAUUCAAGUUGUAAAUGUCACCAACAAUAAAGAUGGUGAAAUCUAAUAACACAAGUACUGCUAAUAAUCAAUGACAAUGAACAUAGUCUAAAAGUACUUAGUCAUGUUAAAAUAAUAAGCACUGCUUAUAAUUUUUAAUUAUAACAAGAAAUAUUAAAAAAAUAAAAACUAAACUAUGCAUUUUCACUAUCUAAACCAAUACCAAAAAAAAAACCAUUUUACGCUAUUAUUAUUCUUAGUGCUGAAUUUUUUAUUUUUUUUUAGUAUUGAUUUGAUUUUAAUUUGAGCUUUAUUUGAGCUAUCUACAUUUAUAUGGACUAUAAAAUUUAUUUGUUAUGAAUAUAUUAUGUGGAUGUCCACUAAAUGUAAUAUCACUAUUAUUCUUCAUCAUUAUGCGUAGUAAUACCCGCACCUCCACCACCUCCUUGUUUAUCUUUUACACUCCUUGAUCUUCCUCACGUCUCAAGGAUUAAUGUAUGUUUAUGACCAUCUUUUUAUAUGGUUCUAUGUAAUAUUAUAAAUAGAGGUCUUGUGGAUUAUGUUGAAGACACUUGAACACAGUUGGAAGAAUGUAAAAGGUCUCCUCUCUUGUCUCACUCA